rnacentral:rRNA from 1 species
GACGAACGCUGGCGGCGUGCUUAACACAUGCAAGUCGAACGGAAAGGCCCUGCUUUUGUGGGGUUCUCGAGUGGAGAAGGGGUGUGUAACAUGUGUGUACCCUGCCCUUCUUUUUGGGAUCACUUCAGGACACUGGGGCUAAUCCCGGAUAGGAGCUUCUGCUGCAUGGUGGGGGUUGGAAAGUCUCGGCGGUUGGGGAUGGACUCGCGGCUUAUCCGUUUGUUGGUGGGGUUGUGGCUUACCAAGGCUUUGACGGGUCGCCGGCCUGAGAGGGGGACCGGCCACAUUGGGACUGAGAUACGGCCCAGACUCCAACGGGAGGAAGCAGUGGGAAAAAUGGCACAAUGGGCGGAAGCCGGAUGCAGCAACGCCGGGGCGGGAAUGACGGCCUUCGGGUGGAAAACCGCUUCCGCCUGGGACGAAGCGUGUGUGACGGUAAUGGGUAAAGAAGCACCGGCUAACUACGUG